rnacentral:rRNA from 1 species
UGGGGAAUAUUGCACAAUGGGCGCAAGCCUGAUGCAGCCAUGCCGCGUGUAUGAAGAAGGCCUUCGGGUUGUAAAGUACUUUCAGCGGGGAGGAAGGGAGUAAAGUUAAUACCUUUGCUCAUUGACGUUACCCGCAGAAGAAGCACCGGCUAACUCCGUGCCAGCAGCCGCGGUAAUACGGAGGGUGCAAGCGUUAAUCGGAAUUACUGGGCGUAAAGCGCACGCAGGCGGUUUGUUAAGUCAGAUGUGAAAUCCCCGGGCUCAUCCUGGGAACUGCAUCUGAUACUGGCAAGCUUGAGUCUCGUAGAGGGGGGUAGAAUUCCAGGUGUAGCGGUGAAAUGCGUAGAGAUCUGGAGGAAUACCGGUGGCGAAGGCGGCCCCCUGGACGAAGACUGACGCUCAGGUGCGAAAGCGUGGGGAGCAAACAGG